AUAAACUCAGGGAUGGGUUAUUUUUAUAUUAUAAAUUUACUCAUUUGGAUUCAUCUGAAAGUAGUCAUGUGAAUCUAGGACAGCAUGAGUGUGAGUAAAUUAAACAAUUUGCAAGUAUCCCUUUAAAAGAGUAACAAAAAGCCUAAUAGACUUUUCUGUUUCCUUUUACAGAUCAAUUCAGAGUUUAAUCGAAUUGCAAGCAAAAACCUCAAGCAAGAUUUUUUCUCUGCACUCGAUCAACAUGCUUCACGAUUUCUGGACAUUUUUGAGAGCAAGAAAGGGGCUGUUGGAAAAAGACUCUCUGAAUUUCUUCAGCAAAUCAAACCUGUGAGCACUGACAUCAUUGCAAAGCGCACAGCAGUUCUUCGUGGCCUUCCACUCAUUCUUGGAGAAGAAGCCUCUGACUUUUUUACAACAGCACUGGACUGUGAAUGUGACACACCCCAGAUUUCCAUCGGGAUACUGACUGUGAUACCAGAAGAUAGCCAGGAUUCCCCACAAGCACUGCAUUUGGAGGCUUCGAACACUGCAAUCAUCUUGGAAGGAGUCAUCGUCAAUCUUCCAGAUGCCAUGUGUCUACUUUUUGGGCUGAUAUAUGCGCUGAAUUUGGAGUACCCUCCACAGCUCAAGAACACCUUUGAUUUUAUUCAGAGAGUGUUUCUUUCUCUUGGACACAAAUCUCUGAAACCAAAAGUACAGUCACUUAAAAACCUGCUGCUGAUGUAAGUUGAGGCUGUUUGAGAUGGUUUUAAAGGGAUAGUUGAAUCCCUUUAAUCUUCUGGUUGCACAGAAGGUUUGUUUAAUUAAACUUUUCAACUGUUACCUGUCAAAAUUUGUUGAAAAUAUUUUUAAACGUUAAAGAAUGUUUAAAAAAUAUUCUUAAAAGUUUUAGAGCAGUGUUAUUGCUAAACGUAUUUUUUUUUUAUUGUAAGCAUUGUUAAGACUUAAGCUAGUGUUGAUUAUUUUAAAAGGUCACCUGUUCAGUUUCAGGUCAAAGAUUGUCAAGCAGUCA